rnacentral:rRNA from 1 species
AACGAACGCUGGCGGCAUGCCUAACACAUGCAAGUCGAACGAGACCUUCGGGUCUAGUGGCGCACGGGUGCGUAACGCGUGGGAACCUGCCCUUAGGUUCGGAAUAACUCCCCGAAAGGGGUGCUAAUACCGGAUAAUGUCUUCGGACCAAAGAUUUAUCGCCUUUGGAUGGGCCCGCGUUGGAUUAGCUAGUUGGUAGGGUAAAAGCCUACCAAGGCGACGAUCCAUAGCUGGUCUGAGAGGAUGAUCAGCCACACUGGGACUAAGACACGGCCCAGACUCCUACGGGAGGCAGCAGUGGGUAAUAUUGGACAAUGGGCGAAGGCCUGAUCCAGCAAUGCCGCGUGAGUGAUGAAGGCCUUAGGGUUGUAAAGCUCUUUUACCCGGGAUGAUAAUGACGGUACCGGGAGAAUAAGCUCCGGCUAACUCCGUG